rnacentral:rRNA from 1 species
GGACUGCAGGCUGAAACUCGCCUGCACGAAGUUGGAAUUGCUAGUAAUCGCGGAUCAGCAUGCCGCGGUGAAUACGUUCCCGGGUCUUGUACACACCGCCCGUCACACCAUGGGAGCUGGUAACACCCGAAGUCAGUAGUCUAACCGCAAGGAGGACGCUGCCGAAGGUGGGAUUAGCGACUGGGGUGAAGUCGUAACAAGGUAUC